rnacentral:lncRNA from 1 species
ACUAGCUUGUCCAUGGGUGAUGGCUGUGCAAAGCAAUGUCAUUCGGAAACCUCAUUAUCCUAGAGGGCUGCUGGAUGUUUUUGUAUAGCAACACCAUGGUUCUACUUUACCAGAGAGAAUCUUAUCUCCUUUCUCUACCCAGAAAAGGAGAAAAAGGACUAAGAUAACAUGCAUCAGGGAACAAGAAUAAGCCGUUUACAUAAAUAAUGGAAAACUAUUGAUAGUAGGUGUUGCUGGAAUUUGGACCCGGGGGCGACCACUGGGCCGGGAAGGAGGAGCUCUGGUGGGAAUCGGCGAGCGGCGAUCCGGCGGGGCGCGACGUCCUCCGGGAGACCUGCAAGAAGCCGGUGGCCGGGGUUUCCGGCGCCGGCCCUCCGAUGCUUAAGUCAGAGGGGGCAAGUGUAUAAAUCGAGAGAAGUAGUCAAUAUUCAGAAUUUUUUCUCCCCACUAAAAUAGAGAAGUUUCCUUUUAUAGAGGGGGGCUGGGUUACCUGUGAUGUGACGAGGCAAACAGUCUAUCGUAUGAUUGGACAUGUGGUGGAAAUUAAUGCUCGAUCGUGUGAAUCAAUGCUGUUACUGUAGGAGAUUAGGCCGACGUUCUCAAGUCAUCGUAAAGUCAUGCCAUCAUUUGUAGCCACGCAAGUUUGCCGUAAGAGGCUUGGUGUCCGUAGACAGCAGAGGCCAUACGCCUUAAUUGUUGAGUAGGCUAAGUACCUGCAGGGGCCAUGCGCUUUGAUUGUUGAGUAAGCUAAGUGCCUACAGGGGCCAUGCGCUUUGAUUGUUGAGUAAACCGGAUACCUGCAGGAGUCUUACGCAUUGAUUGUUGACCAAGGCAAGGCGUAGCUUUUUCGGUCGCGCUGGGGGGAUGUGACCACAGCGCGCAAGUUGGGCGUUUUUGGGUUGGUAGAGCUGCUCGGAUGCUUCCAGGCCGGAGGAGGUCUGCUCGGCCGGCUCCAGGUCGGAGGAGGUCUGCUCGGCCGGCUCCAUGUCGG